rnacentral:rRNA from 1 species
UACAGAGGGGGCUAGCGUUGUUCGGAAUUACUGGGCGUAAAGGGCGCGUAGGCGGCCAUGUAAGUGGGGUGUGAAAUCCCUCGGCUCAACCGAGGAACUGCGCUCCAUACUGCAUGGCUUGAGGGAGACAGGGGUAAGCGGAACUGAUGGUGGAGCGGUGAAAUGCGUUGAUAUCAUCAGGAACACCGGUGGCGAAAGCGGCUUACUGGGUCUCUUCUGACGCUGAGGUACGAAAGCUAGGGGAGCGAACGGG